CGGGGCUCCCCGUACGGGCCACCAUCUGCCGCAGUCCGGCUUCAGCAAAAGGAUAAGGUGGAAAGGUGGUUUUUCUAAGUCUCAGUUUCCUCCCCUGUGAAAGGACCAUCACUCCAGAAAUUGUGAAGUCAAGGAUGAAACUAAGACUUGCAGUGUUGCCAACCUGGUGUGAACAGGCAGAAGAGCCUGGGAAGGGGUCAUGAGCCAGAGCAUCUCACUUCUGUACCUGUCAAGCUCACAGGCUCCCCGAGUCGGUUAGGCAUGCCCAAACCUGCACUCCGGUCAUCAACAGAGCAAUUAAAAAUCUCCUGUGAGCUGGCACCACAGCGCUACGCACUGAAGCCACACAGAGCACAUCUCUGAUCUUGCCCUCACCAUAACACUAUAAGAUGACCUCUGUGAGAUCACAGAUCAUGUCUGGCACCUGAAAUCCAAUAGGCAGAAGGAAGAUAAUCAGGCAGCAAGGCCCUUACAAUCUCACUGGGGAAGCUACACACACACACACACACACUUCAAUUCACUGAGUCCUCAGUUAGACCACUGGUUCUCCAAUGUGGCCGCUGAUCACAAUUACAGAUUCCUGGGUCCAUCCAUCACUGCUGCACCUGAACCCUGAGUGUGAAGUCUGUUUGGUCAGUUACUUACUUUUUAAAGGUCACUGAGGGAUGCUGAGAAGCAACCACCUAACCAAGGAUCGACGUGGCAGGCAUCGAGGGUGAGGAUCAGGGUGGGGAUCUGGGCCCCAUCACCCUGUCAGGAGCUCAUAGCUAUGGCCCACAAGCAGGCCCAGGCCAGAUCCUAAGUGUGAUCCUACUGACAGUGUCUGGGGGUGCAGAGACGUGAGAGCAUCAGGACCAGUCACCUGAAGUCACCUGAGUUCUUUGUGAGGACGAGGAACAUGGGAAAGAGGCAUACAUUCCUUCAUUAGAGGUUUUUACUGGUUCCGAAUUUUAGGGGGGUGGGAUAAAAAGGAAUUGUGGUCACCACCACAUCUGUUCUUUUUCUUCUAUCGAUGAAGGAGUAAAACAAACCUUCGAUAAGUUUUCACAUAAAAAUCUAUUUUUCAAAUCCAGUUUUUAUAAGAUUAGAGAAAAUAGCUUAUUAUGUGGAAGAGAACUUGGAAAAAAGGGUAAAGAUGAGAAUCUCCCAGAUGAAAUCCUUCUUCUCCAUGGUUGGUCGGUCGUUGGACUCCAGAAACUUCUGGGAGGUAGCAACUUGGCAUUGCCUGCACUAGCACCUGACAGCCUCUGUCCUUGGAUUCCAUAUGCAGUCUGUGGUGGGACAGCAGCUAAUUCAAGUCUGUGACCCUGGUGCCUAGCAGGGGCCUGGCACAUAGUAGGCAAUUAGUGAACUUGUGGGAACAAGGUCCAGGGCCCUCUUUUUCACCCUCCUAUACUGAGGUUUUCAGCCCUAAAAUAAACCAUAGGCAGACUUCAAAGAUUCCUGGGGAAAAUAAGCAGGAAGGUGGCACCUGAGGGACCAAUUGAAGCUGGGGCUGGCACCACUCCAGUGCCCACACCUAUGAGCAUAAAUAUUAAAACGGAAUUCUCUACAACCGCGUUACGUCCCUGGCUCUGAAGGCCUUUGCAGCCUUCUUCAGUGUGGGUCCUCUUGGGGCUUUUGCUCUGCCUCAGCAGUCUACAGGGCCCACGAGCACAGGCCCUAAACACUCCUUGAACCAGGGAAGGAAAA
rnacentral:lncRNA from 1 species